rfam:Dipodomys ordii contig_28512, whole genome shotgun sequence.
GGUGGCUCAGUGGUAGAGUGCUUGCCUUGCAAGCAUGAGGCCCUGGGUUCAAUUCCUCAGCACCA